CAGCAGCCACGGUAAUACGUAGGUGGCAAGCGUUGUCCGGAAUUAUUGGGCGUAAAGGGCUCGCAGGCGGUUUUUUAAGUCUGAUGUGAAAGCCCCCGGCUCAACCGGGGAGGGUCAUUGGAAACUGGGAAGCUUGAGUGCAGAAGAGGAGAGUGGAAUUCCACGUGUAGCGGUGAAAUGCGUAGAGAUGUGGAGGAACACCAGUGGCGAAGGCGACUCUCUGGUCUGUAACUGACGCUGAGGAGCGAAAGCGUGGGGAGCGAACAGGAUUAGAUACCCCCGUAGUCCCUGUCUCUUAUAC
rnacentral:rRNA from 1 species